rnacentral:rRNA from 1 species
UACGUAGGGUGCGAGCGUUAAUCGGAAUUACUGGGCGUAAAGCGUGCGCAGGCGGUUAUUUAAGUCAGGUGUGAAAGCCCUGGGCUUAACCUAGGAAUUGCGCUUGAGACUGGAUAGCUUGGAGUGCGGCAGAGGGAGGUGGAAUUCCACGUGUAGCAGUGAAAUGCGUAGAGAUGUGGAGGAACACCAAUGGCGGAGGCAGCUUGCUGGGCCGACCCUGACGCUGAGGUACGAAAGCGUGGGGAGCGAACAGG